rnacentral:lncRNA from 1 species
AAGGGUAGGGAAAAUACAGCUUUACUGCUUUCUGGUGGGUUGGCAAGAUUCUGGCCUGGAAGAAUUGCUGUGGACAUUUUCUGAAAAUACAGUCUGCUCUCUGGCCACACAAUUCAAACCUUUUCACUGGUGCCCAAAGGAGAGAGAGAAUAAACUUGAACAUUCUGACUUUGAAGUGCUUGAACAUGAAAGACAGAGAAUUGACCAGAAGCAAGCGUCCUUAGAGUGGGGUCGUCAUAUUUGAGAAAUGUGCUACAGGGAUCUAGCACACUGCAUUGCCUCACAGCUAAAUUCCCACUGGAUUGUUGGUCUGAAUCACCGAUUGAAAAAUCAAAUGUCUUCAGGGACCCGGCAGGAUCCCGAAGGACGCCGCUCUAAGCCAGAGGGAGCGGUGUGUGUUGUGGCUGAAGUGGAAAAUACAAGCCCAGUUUAAGGGCAUUCAAACAUGAA